rnacentral:rRNA from 1 species
CGAAAGCCUGACGGAGCAAGACCGCGUGGGGGAAGAAGGCUCUUGGGUUGUAAACCCCUUUUCUCUGGGAAGAAAGUUGUGAAAGCAACCUGACGGUACCAGAGGAAUCAGCAUCGGCUAACUCCGUGCCAGCAGCCGCGGUAAGACGGAGGAUGCAAGCGUUAUCCGGAAUGAUUGGGCGUAAAGCGUCCGCAGGUGGCAGUUCAAGUCUGCUGUCAAAGACCGGGGCUUAACUUCGGAAAGGCAGUGGAAACUGAACAGCUAGAGUGCAGUAGGGGUAGAGGGAAUUCCCGGUGUAGCGGUGAAAUGCGUAGAGAUCGGGAAGAACAUCGGUGGCGAAAGCGCUCUGCUGGACUGCAACUGACACUAAAGGACGAAAGCUAGGGGAGCG